rnacentral:rRNA from 1 species
GACGAACGCUGGCGGCGUGCUUAACACAUGCAAGUCGAACGGAAAGGCCUCUUUCGGGGGGUACUCGAGUGGCGAACGGGUGAGUAACACGUGAGUAACCUGCCCUUGACUUUGGGAUAACUUCAGUAAACUGGGGCUAAUACCGGAUAGGAGCUCCUGCUGCAUGGUGGGGGUUGGAAAGUUUCGGCGGUUGGGGAUGGACUCGCGGCUUAUCAGCUUGUUGGUGGGGUAGUGGCUUACCAAGGCUUUGACGGGUAGCCGGCCUGAGAGGGUGACCGGCCACAUUGGGACUGAGAUACGGCCCAGACUCCUACGGGAGGCAGAAGGGGGGAAUAUUGCACAAUGGGUGGAAGCCUGAUGCAGCAACGCCGUGUGCGGGAGGACGGCCUUAGGGUUGUAAACCGCUUUCGCUCAUGACGAAGCUUUGUGUAACGGUAGUGGGUAAAGAAGCACCGGCUAACUACGUG